UACGUAGGGUGCGAGCGUUGUCCGGAAUUAUUGGGCGUAAAGGGCUCGUAGGCGGUUCGUCGCGUCGGCUGUGAAAUCCCGAGGCUCAACCUCGGGCCUGCAGUCGAUACGGGCAGACUAGAGUGCGGUAGGGGAGACUGGAAUUCCUGGUGUAGCGGUGAAAUGCGCAGAUAUCAGGAGGAACACCGGUGGCGAAGGCGGGUCUCUGGGCCGUAACUGACGCUGAGGAGCGAAAGCGUGGGGAGCGAACAGG
rnacentral:rRNA from 1 species